rnacentral:rRNA from 1 species
AGAGUUUGAUCCUGGCUCAGGAUGAACGCUGACAGAAUGCUUAACACAUGCAAGUCAACUUGAACUUCGGUUUGGGUGGCGGACGGGUGAGUAACGCGUAAAGAACUUGCCUCACAGUUAGGGACAACAUUUGGAAACGAAUGCUAAUACCUGAUAUUAUGAUUUUAGGGCAUCCUAAGAUUAUGAAAGCUAUAUGCGCUGUGAGAGAGCUUUGCGUCCCAUUAGCUAGUUGGAGAGGUAACGGCUCACCAAGGCGAUGAUGGGUAGCCGGCCUGAGAGGGUGAACGGCCACAAGGGGACUGAGACACGGCCCUUACUCCUACGGGAGGCAGCAGUGGGGAAUAUUGGACAAUGGACCAAGAGUCUGAUCCAGCAAUUCUGUGUGCACGAUGAAGUUUUUCGGAAUGUAAAGUGCUUUCAGUUGGGAAGAAAAAAAUGACGGUACCAACAGAAGAAGUGACGGCUAAAUACGUGCCAGCAGCCGCGGUAAUACGUAUGUCACAAGCGUUAUCCGGAUUUAUUGGGCGUAAAGCGCGUCUAGGUGGUUAUGUAAGUCUGAUGUGAAAAUGCAGGGCUCAACUCUGUAUUGCGUUGGAAACUGUGUAACUAGAGUACUGGAGAGGUAAGCGGAACUACAAGUGUAGAGGUGAAAUUCGUAGAUAUUUGUAGGAAUGCCGAUGGGGAAGCCAGCUUACUGGACAGAUACUGACGCUAAAGCGCGAAAGCGUGGGUAGCAAACAGGAUUAGAUACCCUGGUAGUCCACGCCGUAAACGAUG